GGAUUGUUUCCUGUGUGUUUGCAUAAAACGGAGCUGUGACUCGGGGCCGAGUUGACUGAAAUUGGGUCAGAAGGACCUGUCUGCGUUAUUAACGAUGAUGUUAUUCACAGAGUAAGCAGGAAUAUCAUGCCUGGAAGAAACAUUUCCUCAAUUCAGUCAAAGAUCGGGCUCUUCAACUUCUAACAACCUGCUUGCUGUCCUGCCCUAUAGGAGAGUUCAUUUCCGAAAAAGGGAUGAACUUAAAUACUCAUACGAAUUGUUCAUCAAAUAAUGCCUGUUCUCCAGGAAUGUUUCCUUCAGUCCUCUCCUCUCCCUGCACCUCCUUGAGUUCUUCCAUGACCUUGCUUCAUCAGCCCAGCUUGCAUAUACGGCCCGAUUAUGUUCCUUAAAGUGAGCUGAUGCACGUAAGCACUGGUGGAAUCUGAAGUAGUUAGUAUUGGAAGGAGCUGGAGCUUGUGUACAUGGACCCUCUCUGCAACGUCCAGUGAGUAUAAUUAUUUCAAAGUAAAAAUUAAAACUGUUGAAACAGAAAUCAGGCCAAUCGUUGCCUGCAGCCAAAGGAGUGGAGGUUGGGGAUUGGCCAAAGAGAACUUUUUGAGGUGAUGAGAAUAUAUUAUGUCUUGAUUGUGUCAUUGUUUACUGUACCUAUGUCAUGACUUACAGAACUAUACUACACCUAAAAAGGUAAAAUAUUUUCUGUGUAAAUUAAACCUCAAUGAACCUGGCAGAAAAGGGGAAAACAAGUUCCUUACCCCAGCCUCCUGAGGGUGAGAUUUAACUUAUCAUCUCAGGCCCAACAACCUUUCCCCUCCUCUGGAAAAGACUUCCUUUCUCUGCCAGUGUACCUGGGUUUUCUUGUACCAGAUUGAUUCCUGCCGCUGGGCCUUCGCGUAGUCUCUUGCAAGAAAUACAGCCCAAAUUCCAAUUUCCUGGACUCUGUUCCACCUUCCUUGCCUCUCGGCAACUUCCUCCUGUGUUCACUUAUGCUGUGCUGUCAUUUUCAUUAAUUUUCAUCUCUUAACUAAAUUCUUCCAGGACAGGCAGCCAUAUGUUUUGUUUCUACCUCUGGGAUAAAGUGGUGCCGAAUGGAUGAAUGAAUGAGUGCUUUAAAGCUGGAAGAAAACUUUAGAAAAAGUUCUCAAAAUGUGGGCCAGGGUCUUCCAGACCCUUUUAGAAGUUUUCGUUUGGCGUUCGUUGAAAAAUGGAAAAUCAAAAGGAACAUUUUCG